GACGAACUGUCCAAACGUUAUUCGGAAUCACUGGGCUUAAAGGGUGCGUAGGCGGACCUGCAAGUGGGAUCUGAAAUCCCUCGGCUCAACCGAGGAACUGGGUCCCAAACUGCCGGACUAGAGUGAGACAGGGGUAAGUGGAACUUGCGGUGGAGCGGUGAAAUGCUUUGAUAUCGCAAGGAACACCGGUGGCGAAGGCGACUUACUGGGUCUUAACUGACGCUGAAGCACGAAAGCCAGGGUAGCGAAC
rnacentral:rRNA from 1 species